rnacentral:rRNA from 1 species
GACGAACGCUGGCGGCGUGCUUAACACAUGCAAGUCGAACGGAAAGGCCCUGCUUGCAGGGUACUCGAGUGGCGAACGGGUGAGUAACACGUGGGUGAUCUGCCCUGCACUUCGGGAUAAGCCUGGGAAACUGGGUCUAAUACCGGAUAGGAGCCAUUUUUAGUGUGAUGGUUGGAAAGUUUUUUCGGUGUAGGAUGAGCUCGCGGCCUAUCAGCUUGUUGGUGGGGUAAUGGCCUACCAAGGCGGCGACGGGUAGCCGGCCUGAGAGGGUGGACGGCCACAUUGGGACUGAGAUACGGCCCAGACUCCUACGGGAGGCAGCAGUGGGGAAUAUUGCACAAUGGGCGCAAGCCUGAUGCAGCGACGCCGCGUGGGGGAUAACGGCCUUCGGGUUGUAAACUCCUUUCGCUAGGGACGAAGCUUUUGUGACGGUACCUAGAUAAGAAGCACCGGCUAACUACGUG